UUGCUUCCGCAGUACGUAUACUAAAUUUGGAACAAUACAGAGAAGAUUAGCGUGUCCCCUGCGCAAGAAUGAUACGCAAGAGAGGCAGACAGAAAGAAUCCUCUUUUU